rnacentral:rRNA from 1 species
ACCCACCUGAUCCCAUGCCGAACUCAGAAGUGAAA